GUUGUCCCCAACCGGUGACAGAAUGUUAAGCAAGCUGUGUGGUAUGUGUUCGAGAAGGUCUUCACACUGGACUUGGCAACCCAACUGAACUGGUGCGGGAGGGGGCAGAAGACUGUCAUCCGGUCAAUGCCACUGAAGGAUGCUAUUAUGUGUGCCAGUGGGGUCUAUUCCAUGUUCGUCGCUGAUCACCUCCCAGAACUACAAAAUAACAGAGGCCAAAGGUCAUCCAGGAGGAUGAUAGUGUGUGCUUGCUGGAAGGCCUGGUCCAGCUCUG